CUUUCAGCAACGGAUCUCUUGGUUCCGGCAUCGAUGAAGAACGCAGCGAAAUGCGAUAAGUAAUGUGAAUUGCAGAAUCCAGUGAACCAUCGAAUCUUUGAACGCACAUUGCGCCCCUCGGCAUUCCGGGGGGCAUGCCCGUCCGAGCGUC
rnacentral:rRNA from 2 species